ensembl:lncRNA
CUUUUAGCAGUUACAAGAACUAACAAAUGAAUAGGAAUAGAAAUACAUUGUACUGCCAAUACUUUGGUUUAUUCUUUGUAUGACUUGAAAAUCAGGCUUUAGGGAAAACUAAAUGACAUGUUUCUAUCAUCAAUUACAUGAAGUAAACACACAAGCACUUGCAUACACAUUUAAGACAUGAGACACGCUAAUUCCAUCUCAUAAAAUGUGUCUAUAGGUGAGACGCUUUGCGUUGAUUGGUGCUGCUGGACCACACUGGAGGUGCGAGUCCGCCGUGUAAUGGUUUAUGCCAUUACAAAGGAGCUGGCCUCUGUACUCAACUGGGCAGGGGAAAAAAAAACAAGGACCAGACAAAGCAAAAAAGGGCAUUUAAAGAGACAGCGCUGUGCAGAUGCAUAUUUGAUGGCCUGGCGCAGCAGGUAGGGGCGAACUCUAUGUCUGAGUUGGUCUUUGCUCAAGCAGUCCAGAAAUGGCUCAGAUAUGCUCCAGAUCGUACGGGUGGCGCGCAGGACGCACAUCAUCCAUCCCCAUCCCGGAGUAAAUAAUAAAAAGUGACGUGAAACAUAGAAAUGUAAAUAGGAAACUUUGUCUUUUAAUAAAGUAUUUUGCAAAUGAUACAUGUCUAUUGACCUUUUUUGUUUUUGGGGGUUUUUUUUCAAUAAAAAGCAACUGUACGAAAGAGGUGGAAAAUCAAUACCACAGCUCAACAGUGUUUCAAUAUCAGAAUCUGACAUUGUUUCAAUGUCAACAGUGUAAGAAAAUAUAACGUCGAAUCAACGUCAGGUUUCAACAUUGAUUCAACAUCAAAACCUGACGUUGUUUCAACGUUAAAAAUGGGUGCAAGAGUGAUGUUGGGUCAACGUCACACUUCAACGUUGCUUCAAUGACGUCGCCUGAUAUUGACUCAACAUUGUCUCAAUGUUUCCUUGCUAUCUGGGUAGUCUGAUUUAAGUACGAUACCUUUGGCCAGGGAUUAAUCUGGUACAUCGCUUCACUGCAGUCUUACAUAUUAUCCCCACACCUGAAUAAAAAAUACUGAUAUUUACAUAUAACACAUUCAGCUGAUGCAGCCUGACUCAAUCUGAUUCCAGAUGUUCAGCACACACAGAGACACAGAGGGACUGUUUAAAGUUUAGUGUUAACCUGAGUCACUGAUCAUUUACAGUAUUACAGAGUCUGGCAGUCUUUGCAUGAUGUCCACGUCACUGUAAGUCUCUAGCUGACUCUCAGGUGUGACAGGUGUGCCAGCAGGAAAGAGUAAUAAUAACCUGCAUCCUGAGGUUUGUCAUGCAGGAUUAAAGGAGCCAGGCUUUGUUCACACAGCUAGGAUUGUAUUUUACACUGACCCUGGGUCAGUAUAAGUAUCAUACAGUUUAAACGAAGCACUGAAACUUGCACAUAUUUAUUACAGAUGCAUUGAAGCUAAUCGAGAUAUUUACUGUUAAUCUGUGGCUGCGAUUAAUCACUUUACUGGAAACUUUAUUAACUAGUAACUUCAUCAGUCAUGACAGAAGCUAAUAUUUCUGUCCCAACAUCGUUUAAACAGUAACAGCUUUACUACAAUAUAAGCUAACGUUUACACCGUAACUUUAAGCUAGCACCAUAAAGACGGUAAAACACGUAAUAAUAUCUACAAAUGCAUCUUAAAGCUGUUAUAUUAGCACUCGCUGUAUUACUAACAUAACCACAUUAACAUUAUUGACACUCGCUGACUUUUAAUAGUCAUUCUAUAAAUGCCGUCCGUUUAAAUGGUCUUACCUGUAACACUGCUGUAUCCACCGGAUUCCAGCCAGAGUGGAUUCUGGAGUCUUCCACGCUCCUGUUACUGAUCCUCCAUCUGGAUGGAUGAUAACAACCUUCUGAACAAUCUAGCAGGUGGAUGGCCCAUAUCUAUGGGACUGAUUUCUGCUAAUAACGCCCAUUGUAUGGACUGAUAACAGCCGAAGCGGGUGAAUAAAGUCACCCAGUUGCUAGCUGUGCCAUUACCCAGCAUACACCUCUCCCUCCAUAAAUGCAAUAAACGAUACAAAAGUAAUAGCCUAUAAUUAAUUUAGCUGCUGUAUCUGCUGUUUCUCAGGUAGUUGUUUACAUUAUAUAAUAUAUUGUGUUCAGUACACGUCACUACAAUGUGAUUUCGGAAAUAUAUAAAUAUACGAACAACAGGCUCUUCCGCGGAAAUCUCUUGUCGUCAAUAAACAACGAUUAGGGAGCUCUAUAGUAUUCAAUAGGAGGACCCUGCACGUCAAUUCUCGACGCCAGGGGGGUACCCUGCGCGUCGAUAAGUGAAGCAGAGAGAGCCUGACCAUGCGUCACACAUUUGACGAGUUGGGAGUGAGAACGUGUUGGCUUUUCAGAACAUACUGAUACUGGUGAGUGUGUGCUUGUUCAG